GAUGGAUCAGUUUACAACGCCUGGACAAGCCAUGAUGUCAAAGACGAGUGAACAAUUCAGGACAUCGUAAGUAAUGAUUUAAAUGGACAUUUAUGGUGGUUGUAUGCGCACAUAACGUGUCAUAUAACCUCUCCACUAAAUUUACAUUUGCAAUUAUUCUGACCAUGACAAUUUGACUACAACUAAUGAAAAAAUUUGCAAUGUGCCUGGUUAAUAUUUCUCCAAUAUGAUGACUUCUUAAUUUGUAAGCAUGUAACUGAUGUGAUCUCUCCUCUCCUCAAUGUGUCAACAAAUAUACCGUACAUCUUAUGAUUACUCCAGCUGAGGACUGACCAGCACAUUAUGACUCCCCCUUUGGUGAGAUGAGACCCUGGAGGAUUGAUGGAACUAUAAAAAAAUGUUAUGUUUCAAUUUCAAUUUAUACUUAACAAUUUUCAUUCAUACAUUAUACUAUUUGUGUAUCACACAAUGUGUCUCUCCUCAGUUCAGCCCAUGACAAC